rnacentral:rRNA from 1 species
AUUGAACGCUGGCGGCAGGCCUAACACAUGCAAGUCGAGCGGAUGAAGGGAGCUUGCUCCUGGAUUCAGCGGCGGACGGGUGAGUAAUGCCUAGGAAUCUGCCUGGUAGUGGGGGAUAACGUCCGGAAACGGGCGCUAAUACCGCAUACGUCCUGAGGGAGAAAGUGGGGGAUCUUCGGACCUCACGCUAUCAGAUGAGCCUAGGUCGGAUUAGCUAGUUGGUGGGGUAAAGGCCUACCAAGGCGACGAUCCGUAACUGGUCUGAGAGGAUGAUCAGUCACACUGGAACUGAGACACGGUCCAGACUCCUACGGGAGGCAGCAGUGGGGAAUAUUGGACGAUGGGCGGAAGCCUGAUCCAGCCAUGCCGCGUGUGUGAAGAAGGUCUUCGGAUUGUAAAGCACUUUAAGUUGGGAGGAAGGGCAGUGAGUUAAUACCUUGCUGUUUUGACGUUACCAACAGAAUAAGCACCGGCUAACUUCGUG